GGGGGGUUGGGGGGAAGGGCCCUAACAAGGCGAAGACGGGGUAGCCGGCCUGAKAGGGCGACCGGCCACCUGGGACUGAUACACGGCCCARACUCCUACGGGAGGCAGCAGUGGGGAAYUUGCAAAUGGGCGGAAGCCUGAUGCAGCGACGCCGCGUGAGGGAUGACGGCCUUCGGGUUGUAAACCUCUUUCRGCAGGGAARAAGCGCAAGUGACGGUACCUGCAKAAGAAKCACCGGCUAAAUACGUGCCAGCAGCCGCGGUAAUACGUAGGGUGCGAGCGUUGUCCGGAAUUAUUGGGGUAAARAGCUCGUAGGCGGCUUGUCGCGUCGGAWGUGAAAGCCCGGGGCUUAACCCCGGGUCUGCAUUCAUACGGGCAGGCUAGAGUUCGGUAGGGGARAUCGGAAUUCCUGGUGUARCGGUGAAAUGCGCAAUAUCAGGAGGAACACCGGUGGCGAAGGCGGAUCUCUGGGCCAUACUGACGCUGAGGAGCGAAAGCGUGGGGAGCUAACAGGA
rnacentral:rRNA from 1 species